rnacentral:tRNA from 1 species
AAAAUCCGUCGACUUUAUAAGUCGUGAGGGUUCAAGUCCCUCUA